GUGUCAGCCGCCGCGGUAAUACAGAGGGUGCGAGCGUUGUCCGGAAUCACUGGGCGUAAAGGGCGCGUAGGUGGCGAAGCAAGUCAGUGGUGAAAGCUCGACGCUCAACGUCGAGUCGGCCACUGAUACUGCCUCGCUCGAGCACUGUAGAGGCUCAUGGAAUUCCGGGUGUAGCGGUGGAAUGCGUAGAGAUCCGGAAGAACACCGGUGGCGAAGGCGGUGAGCUGGGCAGUUGCUGACACUGAGGCGCGACAGCGUGGGGAGCAAACAGGAUUAGAUACCCGUGUAGUCC
rnacentral:rRNA from 1 species